UUCUGUGGUGCAUGAAUGAAAUCCCAAUUGCCAGAGGAGACUGAGGCUGGCAGAUCACUUGGGUUCAGGAGUUCUGAACUGUGGUGGGUUAGACCCAACCGGGUAUCUGCACUAGGUCUGGGAACCAGUGUGGUAAGACCCAGGGAGCAAGGAGUCACCAAGCUACCUAAGGAGGAGUGAACUUUCCCAAAUGGGAAAAGGAGUAGGUCAAAGCUCCCAUGUUAAUCAGAAGGGGGAUCAGGCCCCUGAGUGGCAGCUACACUUCCAGCCUGGGCAAGACAAUAGACCCAAU
rnacentral:SRP_RNA from 1 species